AUGAGCGAACCUGUUUGUAUAAAAUACCAAGUCCUGAGUUUCUCAACAAGUACAAAGUUGAGUCAUCUAUUUUGGAACGGAGGGAGUACGUGGUAUACACAUUCAGGCUUUCAGUUUCAGCUCAACCUUUCUGCCAUGAACAAGCCAUCAGUGAUGCUGAAUAGCUCAACCCUAUUUUUACAUUGUCGGAUUAGGAUAACAAGCAUUCUAGUUUUAAUAAUUAAAGUGAUGGGUAUUAGAUCUCAGGUCACGGAGAACAUUACUCCCAGCAGCACUAGCACCGAGAUACAAAAUGAUGCUUCAAGACCUUAUUCUCCCCGAGUUGCUCUUCGCAAUCUGAUAAUAUUGUCGAUAAAGUAA
rnacentral:rRNA from 1 species